rnacentral:rRNA from 1 species
AUUGAACGCUGGCAGCAGGCCUAACACAUGCAAGUCGGACGGUAGCACAGAGAGCUUGCUCUUGGGUGACGAGUGGCGGACGGGUGAGUAAUGUCUGGGGAUCUGCCCGAUAGAGGGGGAUAACCACUGGAAACGGUGGCUAAUACCGCAUAACGUCGCAAGACCAAAGAGGGGGACCUUCGGGCCUCUCACUAUCGGAUGAACCCAGAUGGGAUUAGCUAGUAGGCGGGGUAAUGGCCCACCUAGGCGACGAUCCCUAGCUGGUCUGAGAGGAUGACCAGCCACACUGGAACUGAGACACGGUCCAGACUCCUACGGGAGGCAGCAGUGGGGAAUAUUGCACAAUGGGCGCAAGCCUGUUGCAGCCAUGCCGCGUGUAUGAAGAAGGCCUUCGGGUUGUAAAGUACUUUCAGCGGGGAGGAAGGCGGUGAGGUUAAUAACCUCGCCGAUUGACGUUACCCGCAGAAGAAGCACCGGCUAACUCCGUGCCAGCAGCCGCCGUAA